rnacentral:rRNA from 1 species
CAGUCGUACCGACGAGAAAUCAACUUAUCGUGUGCGAACUUGUGGGCGUGCGUGAGUUUCGGCCUCGCUGUUUGCAUGUUUGUGCGCUUUGGGUGUACUUUUUCGUAUGGUAGGCCAACGUCAGUUUCGAUUAUCAUAAAAUGACCGGCGGAAUGUAGCUUCGAUUUCGGUUGAAGUGUUAUAGCCUCUGGUAGAUGUGGUGAUUGGGACUGAGGAUUGCAACGAAUAUCCUUUGGGCUAUCCGUCUGACCUCUGAAAGUUGCUCAGGUGCCGAAAGCGUGCUUACGGUCAUCUAAGAUAACGUUCAACAGGCUAGAACGUGAUUACAUUCGUUAAGGACGUUGGCGUUAUGGCUUUAAACGA